GACGAACGCUGGCGGCGUGCUUAACACAUGCAAGUCGAACGGUAAGGCCCUGCUUUUGGGGGCUGCUCGAGUGGUGAACGGGUGAGAUACACGUGAGUAAUCUGCCUUAGAGUUUGGGAUAACUUCAGGUAACGGGUGAUAAUACCGGAUAAGAGAUUCUGCUGCAUGGGGGGGGCUGGAAUGGUUUGGCGGUGGGGGCUGGGUACUGGCCUUACCAGCAUGUUGGUGGGGUAGUGGCUUACCAGGGCUUUGGCGGGUAGCCGGCGGGGGCGGGUGACCGGCCACAUUGGGACUGAGAUACGGCCCAGACUCAUACGGGUGCGAGAGGUGGGAGUUAGUGAAAAUUGAGCGGAAGCCUGAUGCAGCAACGCCGCGUGCGGGUUGACGGCCAUCGGGUUAUAGUCGUAUUUCGCCUGUACCGAGGAGUAUGAGACGGUAAUGGGUAGAGAAGCACCGGGUAACUACGUG
rnacentral:rRNA from 1 species